AUACGUAGGGUGCAAGCGUUAAUCGGAAUUACUGGGCGUAAAGCGUGCGCAGGCGGUUUUGUAAGACAGAGGUGAAAUCCCCGGGCUCAACCUGGGAAAUGCCUUUGUGACUGCAAGGCUAGAGUACGGCAGAGGGGGAUGGAAUUUCGCGUGUAGCAGGGAAAUGGGUAGAUAUGCGGAGGAACACCGAUGGCGAAGGCAAUCCCCUGGGCCUGUACUGACGCUCAUGCACGAAAGCGUGGGGAGCAAACAGGAUUAGAUACCCUGGUAGUCCACGCCCUAAACGAUGUCAACUGGUUGUUGGGGAUUUAUUUUCUCAGUAACGAAGCUAACGCGUGAAGUUGACCGCCUGGGGAGUACGGCCGCAAGGUUAAAACUCAAAGGAAUUGACGGGG
rnacentral:rRNA from 1 species